CUUAAAAUCUGUAAUUAUUGGCGUCCUCUCCCUCCUUUUCUCCAAAAGCCCUGUUCCUUCCCUUUGCUUUUGGCAUCCUUUUCAUCAAUUUUACUAUUUUUCCUACUUUCUGAUAGAUGAUAGGUGUACCAUUUCCUUUGUUGCUCUGGAUAAUUGCCAAGAGAAGAGACCCUAAUGAUGUGAUCCACUCUUCUUCACCAGAAAUUCUUGCCUGAGUUUCUGAGCAUCGUCAGAUUAUAAUGGAGAUAGGAAAGAGACUUGCCAUCAGAGGAAAAAGACUUUGGUUUCCCCUCUGCUUCUCCUGCCUCUUGGGCAACUUCCUCAGAGGGCCUUUAAAGGGUUCCUUUCAUCCUCAGGUCCCUGUAUGAGGGAGGCCCUCCUAGGGCUUCCUCCUCAGCUCUCUUCCCUCUUCGCAGCCACCGUCUUCCUUGGACUUCACGUUUACAAACUCCCAGGUCUGAGUCAUUAGGUCUCAGCUCCGUAUGAAGCCACUGCCUCUCGGAAUGACUGUGGGGUCUGUUUUCUUCCUUAAGAAAUGAAGCUGCGUCUCUUCUGGCCCAGGACCCCUUGUCCCCUUAGAGGGAGAAGCGCCAAGCAGCCCUCAGAGACACCGAGACUACAGCACUGGCGGGAGUCCACCCGGGAAACCCUCCCCUUUCCUUGGGAAAUUCUCUUGACCGCAGUGCACGGUCUCGGCCAGCAGAGGGCGACUCUGGAGACGGGGGAGUGACGGGGCCCUGACUGUGGGUGAUCCCAGUUCCUGAAGUGAAGGUAUGUGCUGAUAAGUAAGCAGAGGCUUUUCUCCCCUCGAGAAGCUGUUCUGGGCCACCACACUAAACCGCCUGCGACAUCAGCUGAAACCUAGUCACUGGGCCUGUCUGUGAAGAAUGUAAAAAGCGAGCAAAGAAAUAAAAGGCAGAAUUCCUAAAGUAAGGUGACUCGAAUCCGAGUGGAACAAGUAUGACAAUAAAUAAUAAUAAUAUGAAUAGCAUAAAUAAGUAAAGGGUAUCAAGCUGAGUGAAAAAUCAGAUUAGAAUCAUUUUCUGCCUAAGGAGCGAUCCUGAAAUACAGCGCCGCAAAAGGCCACACUAACAGGUGCUCCAGUGUUCUCUUCACUGAAUGCCCUUCUAGACAAGUUGGAGACUUUAUAAUGAUAAAAGAAACGUGAUAAAGAUGUCUCUUUAUUGCUUUCACCUUAUUGUUUUUGCUAUGAAAGCAGCAUGUGAUUCUUAUAACAAAGUGUAAUAAGACAGGCAGAAAAAGGGGCUCGUGUGGGUCCCCUGCCCCCAAACUCAACACCCCGCCCCCAAGCUAAGCCUGCUCACCGCUUGUUGUACCUCCUUCCAGAAUUUCCCCCUCGUCCUGUACCACAUAUUUAAUACUCUAAAGAGAAUCAAGAUCAUAUCCUUCAACUUUUUUUCUUUUACUUAAUACAUCCUGGAUCUCUUUCCAGGUCAGUUCCUAUAGAAAAGCCUUGUUCUUUUUCAGGUCCGUCAGCCUUUAUUUUAUACUGGUAUAUUUUAAGGUAACCAGUCUCCCUUCGUGGGCAUUUCAGAUUGCUUCUGUUUCUAUCCACCACUUCAAGGAACUUGUGUCUGUUUCCCUGGGGACGUGCCAUUGUGUCUGCGUGGAGUGAAUUUCUGGAGGGAGGAUGCUGUCUUGGGCAUGUGUACUUUUUAUGCUGGGAGAGACUCCACGUCAGCCUCCCCUAGAUUAGAUCCUUUUAUGCUGCCACCCAGUGUCUGAGGCUGCACCCGCCCGUCUUGCUUUCUCAGCAGCAGAGGAUGCUUUCGUUCUGUUUGCUUUUGCCAAUGUGAUCAAUGAAAGGGUGUCUUAUGAGAUCUACAUUUGCAUUUUUUUAGCUAUUAACGAUGUGAAGCAUCUUUUCAUGUAUUUAUUGGCCAUUGUAUUUCUUCUUCCGUGAAGCACCUUUUCGUGAGAAAUACCUGUUUACAGAAAAUGAGAACCGAGUGCUGCUUGAAAUGUUAAGGGUUUUUUUUUUUUUUUUUGGUUUAAAAAUUACUUCUCAAGUCUUCAAAAAAGAAUAGGCAUGGAGGUGGCAUGGGAGAGCCAUGUUCCAAGGAGGGGAAGAGAAGCUGGGUCACAUUUAUUAAGCACAUUAAAGACUUAAAAAAAAAAAUCAAAACAGCAUCCCAUGAAGAUGGGGCAAACAUAAGGAAAUCUGUAAGUUCUUUUGUCUUUUUUUUUUUUUUUUUUGGCAGCAGACGGGGGUGGGGAGGUAAUUAAGUUUAUUUAUUUAUGUAUUUAAUGGCGGUACUGGGGAUUGAACCCAGGAUCUCGUGCUUGCUAAGCACAGGCUCCACCACUGAGCUAUACCCUCCCCACUAUAAGUUCUUUUAAGCUUUCAGAAACUAAGCCAUUCUCAGGCCUCAUAAAUUGUCCCAGAAAUAGAAAACGCAAUAUGCUAGUGAGUAUAUUCCAUGAAGCAAAUAUAACACUAAUAAAAAACACACCUUGAUUUCAAGGAAAGACAACUAUAGUUCAUUAUCAUUUACGUCUCUAAGAUGAACACCCUGAAAAUAUAAUAUAAAUCUAUGACAUAUGCAAAAAUCUGCAGUGACAAAGUUGGGGUUUUUGUGACAUAUAAGGAUAAUUCAAUGUAUGGAAAUUUAUGUACAUAAUAUACCAUAUUCAUGGGAUAAAUAAAAAAGGAAAAUUAUGACCAUCUCAUUAGAGUCUGAAAAUUCAGCACCUACUCCUAAGAAAAUACUUAAAUCCAGGAAGGAAACAGACUGCCUCAUUAUGAAGAGGAGUGGUUUUUGUGAACCAGCUGCCAUCACUAGAGUCAAUUUCAUAAAAUUAAAUAAUUUAAGAAUUCAAGCUAACCCAAUAAAGUAUGAAACCAGAAAAAUAAGUAUUGAAAAAGUAGGAAAGAAAACCAGCCUUCGGUACACAUGAAAUAUUCAUCCCACCACUAUUACAAUCAGUAAAAGUUCAGCAAAGCACAAGGGAUGCAUUAAAAAUGAAUAAUAUUUCUGUCGAGUAAUAAAACAAGUUAGAGAACACAGCAUUAUCAGAUGUUAUUCACAAUGGCCUCAAAAAAAUUUGAAUUACCAAGGAAAUAAUGUUAGCAUGAAAUGUGAAGCAACAACGAAUUGUUCUUAAAAGAAACAUGAAAACCAGAAGUCCUGGGAAGCCGUACGUGUCGCUGGGUAGGCAGACAGCAGACCCUGGAUUUAAUCAGGAUGGAUCCUGGGACUUUCUCAAUGGCCCACAUUGGCAGCAGGUGACUUCCUUCAGCAAGUGUAAGUAGAAAGACAGGUAGCCCCCCAGCCCUUGCAGGGAGUUCCUGCACGAAGCCAGAGAGCAGAGGGGGCCACGGGGCCGACCACUGGCCGGGCCAUUGGUCAGAGCGGAGGCUGCACCCAGGAGAGCCGGUGCCGCUCUAUGAAGGACUCACACGGGUGACAAAAACAUCAAGACCCCAACGGGUCACAAUAAGGGAUUGUUUCUAUAAACACGAGGCACAUCCCCUCUUGCUGAAAAAGCACAGAGUCCUCAAAAAAUCCUUACGACAACCAUGUAGCAAUAUGAAAAAUAUUUGCCUUUUAAUACUGCAUUUCAUUCUUUCCUUUUUAACGGAGGUGCCGGGGAUUGAACCCAGGACACCGUGCAUGCUAAGCAUGCGCUCUACCACUGAGCUAUACCCUCCCUGCAAUACUACGUUUUAAAAAAUAAGACACAAUUAUAAGGUGGUAAUUGAAGACGUGAAAAAGAAAGGGCAUUGGAAAAACAACUGAAUAAAACGA